CCUACGGGUGGCAGCAGUGAGGAAUAUUGGUCAAUGGACGAAAGUCUGAACCAGCCAUGCAGCGUGCAGGAUGACGGCCCUAUGAGUUGUAAACUUCUUUUGUAUAAGGAUAAACUUCAAUAUGUGUAUUGAGUUGUAAGUACCAUAUGAAUAAGGAUCGGCUAACUCCGUGCCAGCAGCCGCGGUAAUACGGAGGAUCCGAGCGUUAUCCGGAUUUAUUGGGUUUAAAGGGUGCGUAGGCGGACGGUUAAGUUAGUGGUGAAAGGUUGAGGCUUAACUGGGGAAUUGCAGCUGAUACUGGUUGUCUAGAGAGUAGAUGCGGUAGGCGGAAUGUGUGGUGUAGCGGUGAAAUGCUUAGAGAUCAUGCAGAACUCCGAUUGCGAAGGCAGCUUACUGGUCUAUAUCUGACGUUGAGGCUCGAAAGUGUGGGUAUCAAACAGGAUUAGAUACCCUAGUAGUC
rnacentral:rRNA from 1 species